AAUGAAUCUGGAAGCAGCAUCUCCAGCUCCAACAUGUGCCUCUGAUGCAUCUGAUCGUUCAAUGGAUCGACCUGUUGUGUUCAAACAGAGUAGAAUGAAUCUGGAAGCAGCAUCUCCUGCUCCAACAUGUGCAUCUGAUGCUUCUGAUCAUUCAAUGGACCAACCUGUUGUGUUCAGACAGAGUAGAAUGAAGCUUGAAGCAGCAUCUCCAGCUCCAACAUGUGCAUCGGAUGCAUCUGACCAUUCAAUGGAUCGCCCUGUUGUUUUUAAAAGGUUUGUUUCCAUUUCUUUUAAAACAAAUUUGUAUGUUAUUGAUAAUUUAAUUUAUUUUAGUAUGUAGAGCAGUGUAUUUUUUUCUUUUAAUUGAAAUUGUUUUUUUUUGUGUGUGCUUGUAAUAGCAUCAAGCUUAAAACCGCUUCUGUAAGUGAUGACUAAAGGGAUGAUUGAUUGCUUUGCUGUAGAAAUCUUGUGUGGACACUGUGCUUACAGCUUGUGUCUAUGUAAAAGAUCACUUGCUGCAUACUGCGAGGAACUGUGCCUUUGGAAUUGCGUCAGAAAUAGCCCUGUUUGCCUGCAGUAUCUGGUUAUUUCCAAGUAACAUACCAGUGAAACAAAAGAUGAAAAGGAUGUUUAUUAUAUUGAGAACACGAGAACAGUAUACUG
rnacentral:lncRNA from 1 species